rnacentral:rRNA from 1 species
GCCUACGGGCCGCAGCAGUGAGGAAUAUUGGUCAAUGGCCGGAAGGCUGAACCAGCCAAGCCGCGUGAAGGACGAAGGUGCCAAGCAUUGUAAACUUCUUUUGUCAAGGGACAAAAUCAGGCUCGAGAGCCUGACCGAGGGUACUUGAAGAAAAAGCAUCGGCUAACUCCGUGCCAGCAGCCGCGGUAAUACGGAGGAUGCGAGCGUUAUCCGGAUUUAUUGGGUUUAAAGGGUGCGUAGGCGGACUGUUAAGUCAGCGGUAAAAGCCCGGGGCUCAACCCCGUCGAGCCGUUGAACCUGGCUGU